rnacentral:misc_RNA from 1 species
CGCAUAUUGCGCCCAUUGGUAUUCCGAUGGGCAUGCCUGUUCGAGCGUCAUUUCAACCCUCAAGUACCUAUUGCUUGGUGUUGGGACUUCUAUAGCGUAAAGUUAUAGGUUCUGAAAGAAGUUGGCGGGAUUUUUAUAGAACCGAACGUAGUAAUUACUUCUCGUUUUAGGAGAUAUAAGAAUUCCUUAGCCGUUAAACUCCCAAAUUUUUUAAAGUUGACCUCGGAUCAGGUAGGAAUACCCGCUGAACUUAA